rnacentral:tRNA from 1 species
GGGCGUGUGGUCUAGGGGUAUGGCGUCCGCUUCGCAUCUGUCAAGCUCCUGCUUGCGGAAGGUCCGGGGUUCAAUUCCCCGCUCGUCCA